rnacentral:rRNA from 1 species
UACGAGGGGGGCGAGCGUUGUUCGGAAUUAUUGGGCGUAAAGGGUGCGUAGGCGGUUUGGUAAGUCUGAUGUGAAAUCUAUGGGCUCAACUCAUAGUCUGCAUCGGAAGCUGCCGGGCUUGAGUAUGGGAGAGGUGAGUGGAAUUCCUGGUGUAGCGGUGAAAUGCGUAGAUAUCAGGAGGAACACCUGUGGCGAAAGCGGCUCACUGGACCAUAACUGACGCUGAUGCACGAAAGCUAGGGGAGCAAACAGG